rnacentral:rRNA from 1 species
GUGAGGAAUAUUGGACAAUGGGCGCAAGCCUGAUCCAGCCAUGCCGCGCGCAGGAAGACGCAUCUAUGGUGUGUAAACUGCUUUUGUACGGGAAGAAACACUCCCUCGUGAGGGAGCUUGACGGUACCGUAAGAAUAAGGAUCGGCUAACUCCGUGCCAGCAGCCGCGGUAAUACGGAGGAUCCAAGCGUUAUCCGGAAUCAUUGGGUUUAAAUGGUCCGUAGGCGGUUUAAUAAGUCAGUGGUGAAAGCCCAUCGCUCAACGAUGGAACGGCCAUUGAUACUGUUAGACUUGAAUUACAAGGAAGUAACUAGAAUAUGUAGUGUAGCGGUGAAAUGCUUAGAUAUUACAUGGAAUACCAAUUGCGAAGGCAGGUUACUACUUGUGGAUUGACGCUGAUGGACGAAAGCGUGGGGAGCGAACAGGAUUAGAUACCCGGGUAGUCC